rnacentral:rRNA from 1 species
UACGGAGGGUGCGAACGUUAAUCGGAAUCACUGGGCGUAAAGCGCGCGUAGGCGGUUUGUUAAGUGGGAUGUGAAAUCCCCGGGCUUAACCUGGGAAUUGCAUUUCAAACUGGCCGACUAGAGUACGGUAGAGGGAGGUAGAAUUUCCUGUGUAGCGGUGAAAUGCGUAGAUAUAGGAAGGAAUACCAGUGGCGAAGGCGACUCUUUGGCCUGUAACUGACGCUGAGGCGCGAAAGCGUGGGGAGCAAACAGG